CUUCAAAAAAAAAUCAUCUGCGCUGCAACACGGUGUGUGGAAUUGGCAAACUAGCACCCCCUCCUGCUGUACAGGUGCCUUUGCUCGCUGAAAAGGACAACACACAAGCAAUGUGAGAAAGGGAAGGGGCCCAUGGGGGACAGUUCACCUCUGGGUUUCUCUAAUGGAAGGGGUGGGUGGGGGUUAGUGGGCUAAAGUCAGUUACACCUCAACUUUCUUCCAAAUAACGCACAU